AACGAACGCUGGCGGCAUGCCUAACACAUGCAAGUCGAACGGGAUCCUAGCUUCGGUUAGGUGAGAGUGGCGGACGGGUGAGUAACGCGUGGGAACCUGCCCAUUGGUCUGGGAUAACUGCGGGAAACUGCAGCUAAUACCGGAUGUACCCGAGAGGGGAAAGAUUUAUCGCCGAUGGAGGGGCCCGCGUCAGAUUAGGUAGUUGGUGAGGUAACGGCUCACCAAGCCUACGAUCUGUAGCUGGUCUGAGAGGAUGAUCAGCCACACUGGGACUGAGAUACGGCCCAGACUCCUACGGGAGGCAGCAGUGGGGAAUAUUGGACAAUGGGGGCGAACCCUGAUCCAGCAAUGCCGCGUGAGUGAUGAAGGCCUUAGGGUUGUAAAAGGCUCUUUUUACCAGGGACGAUGAUGACGGUACCUGGAGAAUAAGCCCCGGCUAACUUCGUGCCAGCAGCCGCGGUAAU
rnacentral:rRNA from 1 species